GUUAUUAGCCUAUUGUUACAGAUGGAUUCCACUUGUUGCAUUGCUAAAAUGUAUCAGUCCUACGAAGAGACAAAUUUAUGAAAAAUUGUGGAAGAUGUUCCACGUGAUGUGCCUAUCAAUUUCUUGAAAGUUGAAAGAAGCUUGCUCCGUCGGAGAAUUCAUGCUACAGAGGAACUGGCUGUUGAAGAGGGAGGUGGGGAUGAAAUGCACGUUCUUGAGGAUGUCGGUCGUUAGGUGCAUGCUGAUAACCCACAUGGUCUCUUUCGGAUCUUGUCAUCCUCUUCCAAAGGGAUUAGAACUUGAG